rnacentral:rRNA from 1 species
AGAGUUUGAUCAUGGCUCAGGACGAACGCUGGCGGCAUGCCUAACACAUGCAAGUCUAGGGUGUAGCAAUACACACUGGCGCACGGGUGAGUAACGCGUAGAUCAUCUGCCCCUAUCACCGACAUAACUCUUGGAAACGGGAGCUAAUAUCGGAUGAGGUGAGCAAUCAUCAAAGUUUCGACGGAUAGGGAUGAGUCUGCGUCUGAUUAGGUAGUUGGUGAGGUAAUGGCUCACCAAGCCUACGAUCAGUAGCUGGUCUGAGAGGACGAACAGCCACACUGGAACUGAGACACGGUCCAGACUCCUACGGGAGGCAGCAGUGAGGAAUAUUGGACAAUGGGAGCAAUCCUGAUCCAGCAAUGCCGCGUGUGGGAUGACGGGGCUUUGCCUUGUAAACCACUGUCGGACGGGACGAGAAGAGGUAAGAACCUCUGGGACGGUACCGUCAAAGGAAGGAUCGGCUAACUACGUGCCAGCAGCCGCGGUAAUACGUAGGAUCCAAGCGUUGUCCGGAUUUACUGGGUAUAAAGGGUGCGUAGGCGGCUUUUUGCGUCAGAGGUGAAAUCCACGGGCUUAACCCGUGGGGUGCCUUUGAAACGGGAAGGCUUGAGUAUGACAGAGGCGGAUGGAAUUCCUGGUGUAGCAGUGAAAUGCGUAGAUAUCAGGAGGAACACCGGUGGCGAAGGCGGUCCGCUGGGUCAUAACUGACGCUGAGGCACGAAAGCGUGGGGAUCAAACAGGAUUAGAUACCCCGGUAGU